rnacentral:RNase_P_RNA from 2 species
AGAGUAAAUUGAAUAGUCGCUGGUAGAAAUCGAAAGAUACUACGAGAGGAAAGUCCGGGCUCCAUAGAGCAAUGAUGCUAGAUAACGUCUAGUGGGGGCAACCCUAAGGAAAGUGCAACAGAAAAUAACCGCCUCUUUAAGAGUUUAACUUUAUGGUUAUUCGACUUAUAAGCAAAGGAAGAAAUUCUGGAAGUUUUACAAGAGGUAAGGAUGAAAAGGCGAGGUAAGAGCUCACCGCUGUUAUGGUGACAUAGCAGGUCAGUGUAAACCCCAUCUGGAGCAACACCUAAAAAAGAAGAUUAAACCUGCUCGGUGCCUUCUUGAACUGCGUGGCUUGAGAUUAUUAGCAAUAAUAAUCCUAGAUAAAUGGCUAUUUUAAAAGACAGAACCCGGCUUACAGAUUUGCUCUAUAA